rnacentral:tRNA from 1 species
GAGGGUAUAGCUCAGCAGCAGAGCACAUGCCUAGCACAUGUGAGGUCCUGGGUUCAACCUCCAGCACCUCCA